rnacentral:tmRNA from 1 species
GGGGGUGUUCUGGUUUCGACUGGCUUUGCCAUGCCGUAGACUGCGGAUCAAGAGCUGACUUGUAAAACCGGCAAAGAAAAAUUAAAUGCAAAGAAAGAAGACGAGUACGUCUCUGACGAAGCAUUUGCUCUUGCUGCUUAAUCGUAGCUGAGAGCGGGAAGCAUCGGAUUAAGUUCCUGGUCUGAUACUUCCUUUACCAAAGGGGACUUGCUUCUCUCCAUUGCACCGGGGAGGGUGGGACUUUUAGGUGCUGCACUGCGAGAACGCCUGUUCCGUUGCCGAAUCGUAGCUAAGACUGAAAUGGAACUACAUCCGUAGACGUUUAUGGGUGGACUGUCAGGACGGGAGUUCGAGUCUCCCCACCUCCA